ACGAUAAGGUCUGCAGCGUUGAGGACGGUAGUGAUGAUGUCGAUUCCUUGUCGGAUCAAUCACAAUCGGAAUCGGAUUCUGAAAUUAUUGAGACCAGAAGAAAGGUUACCUCACUCCCAAGACCCGCGAGUUUGAAUGCAUUUGAUAUAAUUUCGUUUUCACCCGGAUUUGAUCUUUCUGGGUUGUUUGAGGAUGGAGGGGAAGAGGCAAGAUUUGUGUCCAGUGCUCCGGUGUCGAAGAUUAUAUCGAAAUUAGAGGAGAUUGCAAAAUUGGUGAGUUUUACUGUGAGGAAGAAGGAUUGCAGGGUUAGUUUAG
rnacentral:misc_RNA from 1 species